UACGGAGGGUGCAAGCGUUACUCGGAAUCACUGGGCGUAAAGGGUGCGUAGGCUGACUUUUAAGUCAGGUGUGAAAUCCAAUGGCUUAACCAUUGAACUGCACUUGAAACUGGGAGUCUAGAGUUCAGAAGGGGCAGAUGGAAUUAGUGGUGUAGGGGUAAAAUCCGUAGAUAUCACUAGGAAUAUCAAAAGCGAAGGCGAUCUGCUGGGAUGAUACUGACGCUGAGGCACGAAAGCGUGGGGAGCAAACAGG
rnacentral:rRNA from 1 species